UAAACCCUUGGGUAAAUCCUAAACUCUAGGAUAAAUCUUAAACUCUAAAUCAAAAUCACUAAACACUAAAACACUCAAGGGUUUAGGGUUUAGGGUUUAUGAUUUAGGGUUUAGAGUUUUAGGGUUUAGUGUUUUUAUUUAGAAUUUAGGAUUUAUCUAAGAGUUUAGGGUUUACCCAAGGGUUUAGGGUUUACCCAAGAGUUUAGAGUUUACUCAAGGGUUUAGGGUUUACCCAAGGGUUUAGGUUUACCCAAGGGUUUAGGGUUUAGGAU
rnacentral:lncRNA from 1 species